rnacentral:misc_RNA from 1 species
AUAAAAAUGGCUGCGCCCAUGAAAAUGACAUACGGAACAACUUUAAAGUUUUUUGGGAAAAAAGUAAUGAAAUAUGGAAAAGUAAACCUUUUGAAUGCUGUAGGUGCAUGCCAUAAAUGUAUCUCUUCUCAGACCAUCAGUUGUCAUUCACAGAUACGCCCCCAAAAACGUUGUUAUCCAUGUGAAUCGGGUAAAAUAACUUACUGGACGGUAAAGGGAAGUAACUCGUCAAUAUUUAAACAAAGUCAUCCAAUAUGUAGAGUAAGUUGUGUGUUAAAAGAUUUGAGAAAUUCAAAGACUGUGAUAUCUACAACAGAUUGCACAGCGAAAAGACAUCAUGUGUCAGCAUCUGCAAAUGCCACAAGGAAAGAUGAGUUGAAGGAGACAACAAGGUUGAGAAGCUCUUUGAAGGAAGUGAAAGAAAAUGUUUGGACAGUUCCAAACAUGUUAACAAUGUCUCGUAUCAUGUUAACUCCUGUGAUAGGAUAUCUUGUAGUGGAGGAGAGUUAUUCAGUUGCUCUAGGAUUGUUCACCUUUGCCGGACUCACAGAUCUGCUGGAUGGAUAUAUAGCAAGGAAUUUCAAGAAUCAGAUGUCAGCAUUUGGUACAGCACUAGAUCCUUUAGCUGAUAAAAUUCUCAUAACAGUUCUUACAGUCACCUUAACCAUGGCUCAACUUUUACCAGUUCCACUUGCAGUAUUGAUCAUAGGACGAGAUGUACUUCUUAUUGCUACAGGAUUUGUGAUCCGAUAUAUUUCUCUACCUCCACCAAGAACAAUAAAAAGAUAUUUUGACAUCACCAAUCCCACUGCCAAAUUGCUGCCAUCUACAUUAAGCAAGAUCAACACAGCACUACAGUUGUCAUUAGUAUGUUUCACACUGGCAGCUCCAGUGUUUGGGUUUAUUGAUCAUCCAGCACUUCAGUGUUUAUGGGGUUUGACAGCAGCAACAACAUUUGGCUCGGGGGUUGGAUAUGUUAUCACAAGGAAAAAAUCAGUCCAGUUUCUACAGAAAGACUCAAAAAUAACAAACAAAUGAACUUUACAUGUGUAGCCGUUAUUUUUAAUUAAUAAGAGUUUGAUGGGACAGGAACUGUCAGAUGUUUUCUUCCGUCAAGUUGUAUUGACAUUGCUAUGUGAUAGGAAUGUGUGUUUUUUCUGAGGUGAUGUAGACUGUUACAGUCAGUAUAACUAUUGAACAAAACAUUGAUAGCUGCUCAUACUCAUUGAUGACAUAAACAAGGUGAUUUUCAAGUAGAAGAUUGUCUGUUUUCUAGAAGAGUAUCAGAGUUUUUAGCUGUUUUGACCUCUCACUGUCUGUCAUCAAUCCACACUUCUCUUCAAACAGUAUCUCCUUGGAAAUCAUGAGAUGGAAGUCGAUGUUACUAGGCAAGGAUGUUCCAUGUAUGGUUCGCUAUCAGCAAUAUUGAAAUGACUCUGCUUGUGUGCACACAGGGCAGCCGGAGCUUAAAUGGAAAAUUCUUUAAACCGCAUCUUUUCCUUAAGUGUUUGUAUGAUUUUUAAAGAAAUCUCACAGAAAUGAUUCUUGAAACUGUCAUCGGAUGACCUUCUACCAAGUUUAUACAAAUUAUUCCAACUCAUGAAGAAAAAAAUGGCUGUAUUGGUCACUUUACUUGUAGGCCUGUACAGAUAUGUAAUUAGAGGAAACUUCAAAAAUCUUCUUGGCAGAAACUGCUUCCCUGAUUUUAAAAUAAUUUCACAAAAACUGACUCUUUUGAUCCUUUACCAGAUUUGUUCUGUUAUUCUGAUUGGUCAAAAACAUGGUCACAGAGCUUAAAUGCAUAACGAGGGGUGAAUGUGAAAGAGUUUAAAGUGCAUAUAAAUAAAGAAGCACUUUUUUGCAUUCACCCCUCAAUAAGCACAUUGAAAAUCUCCUCUUCAAGCACUGGUAUGAUUUUGAAAACAUUUCAUCCAAAUGUUUCUUGGGUAUUUGUCUAAGAAAAAUGUUCUAAUUAUCAUGAUUUGUCAAAAAAACAUGCCCGACAGAGCUAAACAGAAAAAAUAUUAAAAGGAUUGGUCUGAUUUUAAGAACAUCAGAUUCAUACAAAUUUUCCUUUGGUGGUCCUAUACUAAAAUUGUUAAAAGUUCAGCUGUUUUGUUGGGAAAAACUUGGCUGGUGAGGGUAGGGCUGCUUUGAAAAUAUUCUGCUUUGAUUUCAAGGUAAUGAGGUAGAAAUAUUUCUUGAGUGACCUUCAACCAAAUUUGUUACCUGUUUGAGCUGUGAAACUCAGGAGAGCAGGCUGUCUUUUAUUGAUUUGAUAUCAUGAUAUAAAAGGUACCAACUUUUU